AUGUAAUUGCCGCCACGGAACGAGAAUCGGUAAAUUUCGAUAUCAUUCGUGUGUUCGUUUCGUUCCAAAUUUAGAAAAUUGAUCAGUUCGAUUCUGGCAUUCGUAUAAGUGUUUAUUAAGAAUGGGAAAAUUGAAACUCGGAUUGAAUCAUAGAAUAUUUCGCAUCGGAGUUCUUUUCUUUGCGAUGUGUUGAAAUUGUGUUGUGAAUAAUUGUCGAACUUGUACGAACAUUUUGGAUAUUGAUUAUAGAAUUCGAAGAAUUCGAGAAAUUUGAGCUCGGCCAGCCUCUCAACCCUUUUGGGCGGCGAAAGGAGGAAGGAAAGGCGAGAAGGGGACGACGGAGAGAAAAAGAAGCCCGUAGGAGUCAUAGAGGAACGCGACACAGCCCAUUUCCUCGCUCGAGGGCUCGUCCCCCGUAAAAAAUAAUACUUCUCGUCUCCGCUCAUUUGCCUCCUGUUAAACCCGCGCCACUCUCACCUUGACACCCGCUGCCAACUCGUAGAUUACGAAUUAGAGACGUCAACUGUAAACUUAGCUGUAAACGCUCCACAUCGAGGGGGUCUCGACGCAAUCACCUCCUUGAUGAGAUCCGGUAAUUGGCAUCGGUUUUUAUAUUAUUUUUUGAUUAAAAAAAUUUUAUUACAAAUGUUUCAUUAAAAAAAUUGUGAGUAGAAUAUUAUAUUAAGAAGAUUAGUUUUUAAAAAAUUUUUUUUUUCGUGUAGUAUGUACAGAAUUUUAUUUUUUAUUUUACAAAUUUUUUGAUAAAAUUUUUAUGUUCUAUAUACUUAGAUAUAAUAUACUUUAGUAGCUUUUUUUUUAAUGAAACAAAUAUAUUCUUAAUGCAAAUAUUAGUUAAUAAAUGAAUAUUAGAUUGUGUUUAUUAUAAGCACAUUUCGUAUCAAGAUAUAUUCCUUAACUUAACGCCUUUUUGAUUUUCCUUCGUUUUCUUCGAAUCUUAUUCGAUUCAUUGUCAAUCACAAUAGUCAAAGUUGUUGGAUUCUAUUUCCAAUGAUUAAUUAAAGGUUUUUAAUCGAUUAAUACUUUUAAGUAUUCGAUUAGAAUUAGAUCUUGUAGAUGACGUCGUUUUAGUAAUUCGGUCAAAGAUUUUUUCUGUAUUAAUGUCGUUGGAACACGAGGCGUUUUUUGUUAGGUCAUUAUAAUCUAGUGAAUUAGUAAUUAAUCUAAUGAAUAUUAA